rnacentral:rRNA from 1 species
GCCCGCUCAGAAACUUAAAGGAAGUUGACGGGGCCCGCACAAGCGGUGGAGUAUGUGGUUUAAUUCGAUGCAACGCGAAGAACCUUACCUGGUCUUGACAUCCCGGAGACCCUUAGGAAACUAGGGGGUGCUUCCAUCUGGAAGAAUCUGGAGACAGGUGCUGCAUGGCUGUCGUCAGCUCGUGUCGUGAGAUGUUGGGUUAAGUCCCGCAACGAGCGCAACCCUUGCCUUUAGUUGCCAGCAGUUCGGCUGGGCACUCUAAAGGGACUGCCGGUGUUAAACCGGAGGAAGGUGGGGAUGACGUCAAGUCCUCAUGGCCUUUAUGACCAGGGCUACACACGUACUACAAUGGCCGAUACAAAGGGCAGCGACACUGCGAGGUGAAGCCAAUCCCGUAAAAUCGGUCUCAGUCCGGAUUGGAGUCUGCAACUCGACUCCAUGAAGUUGGAAUCGCUAGUAAUCGCGGAUCAGCAUGCCACGGUGAGUACGUUCCCGGGCCUU